UACGUAGGGUGCGAGCGUUGUCCGGAAUUAUUGGGCGUAAAGAGCUCGUAGGCGGUCUGUCGCGUCUGCUGUGAAAACCCGCGGCUUAACCGCGGGCUUGCAGUUGAUACGGGCAGGCUAGAGUUCGGUAGGGGGAGACUGGAAUUCCUGGUGUAGCGGUGAAAUGCGCAGAUAUCAGGAGGAACACCGGUGGCGAAGGCGGGUCUCUGGGCCGAUACUGACGCUGAGGAGCGAAAGCGUGGGGAGCGAACAGG
rnacentral:rRNA from 1 species